AUAAGAGGUCCCGCCUGCCCUGUGACUAUAAGUUUAACGGCCGCGGUAUUUUGACCGUGCAAAGGUAGCGCAAUCACUUGUCUUUUAAAUGAAGACCCGUAUGAAUGGCACCACGAGGGCUUAACUGUCUCCCUUUUCCUAUCAAUGAAAUUGAUCUCCCCGUGCAGAAGCGGGGAUACAUCCAUAAGACGAGAAGACCCUAUGGAGCUUUAGGCUCCAGAGUAGACUAUGUCAAACACCCUAAAAACAAAAGACAAAACUAAUUAGUCCCUACUCUACAUGCCUUUGGUUGGGGCGACCGCGGGGAAAUAAAAAACCCCCACGUGGAUCGGGAGCACAACCCUCCCAAAACCAAGGACCACACUCCUAAGUCACAGAACUUCUGACCAAACAUGAUCCGGCGUCAAGCCGAUCAACGAACCUAGUUACCCUAGGGAUAACAGCGCAAUCCCCUUUUAGAGCCCAUAUCGACAAGGGGGUUUACGACCUCGAUGUUGGAUCAGGACAUCCUAUUGGUGUAGCCGCUAUUAAGGGUUCGUUUGUUCAACGAUU
rnacentral:rRNA from 1 species